GAUGAACGCUGGCGGCGUGCCUAAUACAUGCAAGUCGAGCGAACAGAAGAGGAGCUUGCUCCUCUGACGUUAGCGGCGGACGGGUGAGUAACACGUGGAUAACCUACCUAUAAGACUGGGAUAACUUCGGGAAACCGGAGCUAAUACCGGAUAAUAUAUUGAACCGCAUGGUUCAAUAGUGAAAGGCGGUUUUGCUGUCACUUAUAGAUGGAUCCGCGCCGCAUUAGCUAGUUGGUAAGGUAACGGCUUACCAAGGCAACGAUGCGUAGCCGACCUGAGAGGGUGAUCGGCCACACUGGAACUGGAACACGGUCCAGACUCCUACGGGAGGCAGCAGUAGGGAAUCUUCGGCAAUGGGCGAAAGCCGGACGGAGCAACGCCGCGUGAGUGAUGAAGUUCUUCGGAUCGUAAAACUCUGUUAUUAGGGAAGAACAAAUGUGGAAGUAACUGUGCACGUCUUGACGGUACCUAAUCAGAAAGCCACGGCUAACUACGUG
rnacentral:rRNA from 1 species